CAUAAAUAUUUUUAAGUGAUUUGGGCUUAAUUACUUAAUAAAUUGAACUGUUAGGUAUUUCUUUUGGCCUAGAGGUUCCAUGAAAAAACUACUGAGAUGGUAAUGAUGCUGUGAGCUAAGAAAGUUCCGGAACCUCUAGUCUAAGAGAUCAUCUAAUCCAGG